UGCAUUUCUCUCAUGCUUCUCCCCUUUUCCCUUUUAAGAUUGACAUACUUCUUGAGUAUUUCGUAAUUAGUGUGUUGUUGAGGCUUUGUGAAAGAAAACAGUACGGGCGACUCUUUUAUUCUUUAUUUUGUUCCCAAACUCAUGCACUUUAACCAAACUGGUGCUGACAUUUUUUUUUUAACUCCCCGUGGACUGUAACAAUGUAUCUGAUGAUAAUUGUUAAAGGAUGAAAGAAACUUGCAAUUUAUGUUGGGAGUUUUGAAAAUGAAAAUGUGUCAUUUUUCAGUGUCUGAAUCAGUUGCUUGUUUUCUUAUCUUCUUUGCUUGCUGCAAGUAGGCUGGUGGUUGACCAGCUUUGCCCUUGUCUUUAGAAGCCAUACCCUCAUUUUUAGCACAGAUGUGUUAGAAAUUAAUAAUGUUAUUUAUAUUUAAACAAACUUGAAUUUAGCUAUAUGACUAAACGUUUAUCAAGUUGCUUAUCAAUCAUCUCUUAUGUUUUAUUUUAUUAGAAAUGAUCCUUAGUAAUUGUAGUUUUGUUCAUUUUAAUGCUUUUACCCUGAUGAAAAAUAUGUCAGUUUCCAUUUAUUCUAAUGUUUAUUCCAUUAUUUCCCCAAUGCUGAUUUGAUAUGCUCAUACAUAUAGCAUGACCCUUAAGGAGUAUUUUUGCAAUGAAGUAAGUUUUGUUUCCGGAAUAGGUAUUUACAAAAUACUUUUAUGGCUAUUUUAGGGGUUAGGCUUAUUUUGUUUUUCUUAAUGAUUGAUUAUAAAUAAUUAAGCUCACCUCUUUGAAAUGGAAAUAAUCAUACUUCAGAUUGGAGAAACAGGAGCAAUGAUUGAAGUGAGGUGGUUGAGACAGAAAGAAAACAGGCAAGCAAAAUAUGCAUUAUCAUGUGAGCAGGCAAGCACACAUGUAAAUACUUGAAUUAUUUGCAUCAGGAAUUUAGCCUAUGUUUUUUGUGGCUGGGUUAGCUUUUGCUGUUAUUGUAGUGUUUUACAGUUGACAAGAAGCACAAAUUGCCCCAUCCGCAGUAUUUCUGUGAGUUUAAAUAAAUUAUAGAUGAAGAUUUUAUCUCUUACAUUUCUUGCCAUUUUUUAUAACACAUGCAAUAAAUUAUUCCCUGACUUCAUUUAAAGCAGAGUUUGCAUCUGCAAAUAAGUUUGGAGGUUCCUUUUUUUUCCUCAAACAAUAAAUGCUAGAAAAUCCUUAAAAUCCUUUUAUGAAUUACCAUAGCCAAUAUAAGUCACCAACAUGAGUAAUCAGAAUUUAUAACAUACGUGAAUUUUACUCAUUUAUAAUUUAUACCCUUCCUAUGUGGAAAGAUGAUACAAUACUUAACAAAUAGUGUUUAACCAAACUAUUUCUUUUUUCUAUCUAAACUGCCAAGAGACUUAUUUUCCAAUUCAGGGUUCAGUUGGAAAUAAUUUGUUCAUUUCAGGGGAUGAGUAACAUUGACACCCUUUACCCCUCUGGAUUUUCAUUGUCUAUUUUUAUCCAUAAUUAUUCUAUUUUAUUGUUUUAAAUUGUGUGAGAUAUUUUCAUAAGUUGGGCCAUAAUUCAAAAUGCAUUUUUAAACAUAUUGAUUUAUGAAUGUGUAUAUCAUUCCAUUUAACUUUAAAUAUUCUGCAUAGAGUUGGGGACAGAAUGAUUUUUGUGUAAGAAAUCUCUAUAUAUGAAUGAUUCUUGGAUUUGACUGCAUACUUUAGAAAUCUCUCCAGUUAUUAAUCUUACAUCUGACUUAAUAAUGUAACUACUUGGGUGUAUCACUGCAGCUUCCAAAUAAUUUGGUGGUCUGAGGGUAUAAUCAGCUGUGAUUACAGUUUACCAUUUUAGUAUCCUUUUAUCAGUUCAAUAUUAUACAUACCUAUUAUAUUUAGUUAUAUAUGUAAAAAUAUAGAUUAUAGAUUUAGUAUAUAGAGAAAAUACAUGUUUGUGUGUGUGUAUACAUAUACACACACACAAGCACACAUUUACUCGAGUAUUAAAAAAUAUGAAAGGGUCUCUCUUCCUGUGCCUCUGUACAUAAAGGCCACAGGCCUCAAAUUGCUCAGGCGACAAUGUUUUCUUACCAGUGUUCCUGUCCACAUUUCCCAACCAUCACCCUACCCUCAUUCCUUUUCAGUUGACUUCCCAUGAGAGAGACCUACUACUUUGCCAUUUAUCUAUUUUUCAGAUGUUAAUUUGUUUUCAGGUUGAUCUUCAAAAUACUUUGUUCCUGGGACCCAUCUUUGUGGCUUUACCAUCUUCACUCUGAUUACAUAAAUUUAUUUUGUGUUCUGUUGGUCUGCUUUUCCAAAUCUGUCUACUGUCCUCUGGGAUUCCCCAAAGCCAAACACUACCUUUGAAAGUUUGUUGUAUUGUGCAAGAAUUCAAUGCUUUGGAUUACUUCUUUACCUUUUCCUAUUUGUUUCUCUCCAAGUAUCAUAAAAAGCAGUCCAUACUAACUUGUUCUUUCAGCCUUAAUUAAAUUGCUAUGAGAUAUUCACUUUUAAAUGGGAUUUAUUGGCAAACCUGUAUUUUAUGCCCUUCCUCUUAUUAAAGGUCAACCUUAUUAUAAUUAAAAUUUUAUGAAUUUCAAGGCAAAAUAAAAAUAAUCUUAAAAUUAAUCCAUUUAUCUCUUCGUAACAGACACAUUAAUAACAUAGACAAAUUAAUCUAUUGGUCUCUUUGUAACAUGUGUCACACAUUUAGAGUUUAUAUAAUAAAGGUAUAUACUAGGUUGCUUUUAUUUAAUGAGCAGUUAUUUAUAUGCCCAGUUCUAGCAGAAAGUGAUUAUAGUAUUUAUUCAUAAGCAUUCUUUAAAAAAAGUGCAUGCAUGAAGUUGAGAAAAACUUUAUAUAUAUAUAUAUACUUAUUCUCAUAAAGUUAAUAGAAUUAGCAAAUUCAUUGAUGGUGGAAUUGUUUGCCUUCUAUUUUAGUUGUUUCAGUAACAGUAUUCCACCUCCAAAUUCUGUAUAACAAAACAAUCAUGUUGUGACCUUUCCAUAAAUAUUUGAGUUUUACAUGUCUUAAAUUCAGAUUGAGUCAGUGGUUAUAUACUAUAAUAAUAUUAACUUACAUAUUCCUUGAUAUCUCUUUAACAUUUUACCAUUUAUAAACAUUUCCCAGGGAUACUUCUCAUUAAUAUAAUUAAGACUUGUGAUUUAGUUUAAGUAAAACAUUAUUAGUCUUCCAAAUAUAAAUAUAAAGAGAAGUUUUGUCAUGAAAGUUGACUUUCAUGAAAGUUCUUUCCUGCUGUCAGAACAGUGUUUAGGAUUUGUGUGUUACAUGUAAGAUCAUUCAUUAUGUAAUCUGGAAAAAAAAGAGAUGCUACUCUUCAAAAUACAACUGUGGUUGUUUUUAAAUCAAAUUUUAAAAUUGGUUAUUGUAUAUGUAAUAAUACUUAUACUUUUCAUUAUAAGUAUUAUUAUUUAAUAAGUAUACAUGUAAUACUUAGGUUUAUAGAUGUAGAAAAAAUUCUGGAAGACUCUGUACCAAGCUUUUGGUAGUGGUUACCUUUUAAGAGUAAAAAAAUGGUAGGAGUGAAGAUAGGGAGGACUGUCUCUCUUUUCUUCACUGUAUUUGCAUAUUGUAUGUUGUUUUUAUCAAUAAAGUGUUAUAUAUGAAAGUUUAAAAUAUUAAAAAUAUAACUAUUAGCAAGCUCAUUUUUAUAUAUGCAGAUAUCUGUAUAUCCAUUAAACAACAAUUUGCUCAGGGUAUAAAAUAUGCAAAUAAGCAUUUCGGUACUGGGUGGAUACAAUUUUCUGAAUUAUGUUGCAGCUCUGACCAAUGGAGGAUUAUAAUUUUUUAUUAGCUCUUUUCUCUUAAGGUUGUAAAAAUCUAGCCUGGCUUAGCAUUCUUAUUUUGGCCUCAUGAUCACAGUGGAAAGCAUUUGUAUAAGCUAAAAUGUCCAGUUUUAUAAUUGAGAAUAAAAAAGAUGGAAUAACAUUAAUAUGUUGGAAGGAAAAUAAGUGAUUAACCCCAUUGUUCCAUCCUGUUAUUCUCAUUUUCAACUUACCUUACAUAUCUUAAAUAGCUGUAAAUACUAUUUCUGUGCUCUGCUUUUUCAUUUAGCAUAUCAAUAUUUUCCUAUUUUUUGCCAGGCACCAUAGCUCAUGCCUACUUAGAAUCCCUGCAAUUUGGGAGACUGAGGCAGGCAAAUUGCUAGAGGCCAGGAGUUUGAUACCAGCCUGGCUAAAAUGGCGCAACCCCGUCUCUACUAAAAUUUCAAAAAUUAGCCAGGCGUGGUGGUGCAUGCCUGUAAUCCCAGCUUCUUGGGAGGGUGAGGCAUGAGAAUUGCUUGAAUCCAGGAGGUGGAGGUUGUAGUGAGCUGAGAUCAUGCCACUGCACGUGCCUGGGUGACAGGGCAAGGCUCUGUCUCAAAAAAAAAAAAUCUAUUUUUUAAUACUUCCAGCUUUCAUUUUAUUGACUGUCUUUUAUGAAUGAGAGCUCUGCCAAUAAUUUUACAUAUAAUAUAUUAUUUAUUUAUUACUACAACUUUGAAAAGAAGGAGUUGUUAAUCCAAAUUUUACAGCUGAGAAAAUGAUUCUGUGAGACGAAAUAAGUUGGGCAAGGUCAUAGGCUGGGGUAAUCCAAGUCUGUCUACCUCAAAGACCAUGCUUUGUUACUUCGGCAUAUUACCUUCCUCUACUGUCUAUAUAAUUAUCUUUUUUAAUGGCUAUAAUACUGUUCAUGUAGUGAAUAUUUCUAAAUGCAUUACAAUAUUUGGCAGUUGUCUUUUCAGAAUUAUGGUAGCCUAUGAAAUUUAGGAUUGACAUUGUUGAUUGUUGAAAAAUAGCUUUUGAAAGACUCCUGUACUUGCAGCUUAAAAGCCAUUAUAUUCUCUACUGGUAGCAAAUAAGGUCCUGUGGUCUUCAUAACAGGGAAUAAAGAGCAGAAGGUCAAUGCCUCACAAUUUUGAAUAGAUUAUCUUUCCAAUUAUAUUAUCAAAUUUUUCUGUUCUCUGCAAGCUCUGUAAGGCUUCAGGUUGAAAGUACUACAUCUCAGUUUUUGUAUGAGGUUUUAGAUCAGCUUUGAAAAAAGUGCACAAUCUUCCUUCCUAUUUCUUUUGUCUUAGAAAUUUUGAUAAAUAGGCAAACAAAUGGAAUUCUCAUGUUUUCUGCCUGUGCAAUAAAUAUUAUGAUUUGGUUUAGGUACGUGACUACUGUUGAAAUGGGUUCACAGUUUUGACAAUGAGAUAAACUUUUUUUGGUCCUAGUACCCAAGAUAGUAGCACAUCUGUUAUGAAAUAGACUUAAAGAUACACAGCUUUUAGAAAUGAUUAAGGUACCUUGAAAUAUUUGAUAUAUUUAAAGCAUAACUAGAAAAAUACAGAGUGGAUCACAGAUAGGUUUACUCUUUAAAGGCAUAAAUUAAGAGAUUGCCUGAGAAAAAGCCAUGUGUUCACUGUAACAUGCUCUGUAUCCCUGGAGAAGCCACCUAGUCCUUUUGAAGGCAAGUCUACUGUCCUGUAAAAUAAAAGAGGCAAGGUAGAUCAAUGCAUUUUAAACACGUUUUUUAAUGAAACAUUUUUUAUGAAUGAAAUGUGAGUUAAAGUAAAUAUAAAUGUAUAUCUAUACUGUAAAUUAAAUGUAAAAUCAUAUAUAAAUUUGAUAUAUAGGUAUAAUUUUUUAAAACAUAGAUAUGUAUGAAAUAUAUAAGUAAAAAGUAUAAGCACACAUAAACAAUAAAACAGCCACUGAGUUUGUAAAUUUACUCACAUUCCAAAUACAAACCCUGUCCUUGAAAUACCUCUAAAGAUGUUAGGAUUCCAGAAAAUAUUGUUUGAAAACCACUAAACUAAUGACUGUUAAGAUCACUUAGUUUUACUCUCUGCAGUGCUUCCUUCCCACUGGAGAGUCAUUUGUAUAUCCUGUAUCUCUAUGUGGAUUGGAAUAAACUUGUAGGUAAUGUAGCAGUUCAAAUACCUCUGACUUACAAGACCUUGAAGUUAUGGAACAUUUUUCACUUCUGAGAUAUCACAGAAGAGUUAUCAUUAUAAUAGUUAAGAUCUAUUCAUUUUAUUUAGCACCUUAUUUUUUACAAAUUUAUUUUAGGCUUAUCUGGAAUGAGAAAAUCAUCAUGCAUUAAACACUGUAAAAUGCAUAGCUGAUAAUUCAGGAAGUGAGCAUGGUUAUUGGAAAAGAAAUGCUGAAUUGAUAUUAAUUUCUUCAGAAGAAAGAUGCUUCUUUAGGUAUUUCAAAGUGGGAUUCUCUACCCUCUUUUUCUGUGAUAUCACUGGUGAAGAAAGGUAUACUCUCCUCAGUGACAAUGAACCCUAUAGACCCUACAUUCAUAAAACUGGCUGUGGUUAUGUGUUCAGUAACACUUCAUCCUGACUGCAACUCUGUUUUUUCUUUGUUGUUUUUGUUUUGUUUUGUUUUUUGAGAUGGAGUCUAGCUCUGUUGCCUAGGCUGGAGUACAGUGGCAUAGUCCCGGCUCACUGCAACUUUCACCUCCUGGGUUCAAGCUAUUCUCCUCCCUCAGCUUCCCAAGUAGCUGGGACUACAGGCAUGUGCCACCAUGGCCAGGUAAUUUUUUUGUAUUUUUAGUAGAGAUGGGGUUUUACAUGUUAGCCAAGAUGGUCUCGAUCUUCUGACCACCUUGUGAUCUGCCUGCCUCGGCCUCCCAUAGCGCUGGUAUUACAGGCGUGAGCCACUGUGCCUGGUCUGCAACUCUUUUUUUUCUUACCCAUGGAUCUAGGCCAGACCAUGGUUUUGGCCUUAUCACUAAAACUUGCCUUUUAGCAGAUGUAAAGAAAUAGCCCACUUACUAGUUCCUGUCAAUCAUUCCAAUCAUGUAGAGAAAUAUGUUGAAUCAGAAGGGAUGAUGACAUGAAGGUAACCAUGAGUAUAGGAAUGAUUAGUCAUGGAUCCACCCAACUGUUACUGGCACGAUUGAGAGAAGUAGAUUCUAAGAUAAAACUGAAGAGGAAGAAUAUUAAUGAGGUCUUUAAGGAAUUUUUAACUUUUUUUAGGAAAAGAUGCUCAGGGAUAUGUAUAAAUAUUCCCAAUAAUACUAAUAUUAAACAUACAGAAUUGUCAAAGCCUAGAUAAAUGUAAAGAGAAUAGGGCCUGAGGGAUAUCAGCUAGGUAGUCACAAAGAAAUCAUAGUCUUAAUAAAAAAAAUCAACGUAGAUUUUCAUAGAAGCCUUUCCAGAGGUGAUCCAAUAUCUCAAAAGAUAAUAUAGGGGUUGAAGGCAUAUUUGAAAAUGGACAGAAGUAAUAUACACUUCAGCCACCAAAUGUCUCCAGGGAUUGGUGCCUACAGGAAGGGCUGGGGUACUGCCUGGGGCACGAUGACAGCAAGCCUGGGUAAGACUGUUAAAUAUAACUGUAUACAGGUAACUAAGUAAUGGGAGCCUGUGCCAGUGAUAUGUCUCAGUUUUCACAUUGCCUACUUCUUUGUCAAGUUUGAUCUAAAUUAGAAAGCAUUUCAAAAGUAUAGAAAGUAGGAAGAGUGCCAGAACCUAUGGAUGCAGUUUCUUAGCAUGACAGGGGAAACCUUGUAAUUAUUUAUUAUCUAUCCUAAGCUUUCUAAGGGGGUUGGCUGUCUAAGGAACAUCCUGGGUGACAGCUGAGGAUAUGAAUUAGAGAAGCUAACAGAAGGCUGAACUGCUCUUCAGAAUAAGAGUUAGAAAAACAUAAGGGAAUAUUUCAAGAGAAAAGUUGGGGAAGUGCGGCAAGAAAAGAGAGAUUAUGGAGAGACUGACGUGGAAGAACUCCAGCCCACUUUGGACUAAGCAUCUAUCAUCUAGCACCCUACCCUGUUUAAUGACAUUGAAAACUUCUGAGCAAAAGCUGCCAUUAAUGAAACUCAGUGUAGAGGACAUUUUCCCACCGAUCUCAGCCCUAAGAAUUUCUGCCAUAGGACAAAGGGAGUCAGCUGCAAGCCCUUCCAUUUCUCUGCUACACAUGAGGAAAAACAAGAAAUUAGAAAACUAGAAACUAGAUGUAGACUGUAUGCACAGAAAGGAUUGCAGCUUCCAAAGCUUCCUUAUAGGAAGCAGUCCUGAGGUUUUCAUCCCACACAGGAAGUUUUCUUUAUAUCUAAUACAAAUCUUCCUUGCUUAAAUUUUAACCCAUUUCCUCUUAGUUGUUAGUAGAUAUAAUGAGAAUGAAUCAAUAGAUGAACCAAUUCUCCUUUAUGGCCUUUGAAAACUGCUAGUGAAUGACUUCUUGGUCUUUUUUCAUUUCAUAUUGCAAAAUAUUCAUUCUAAAUUGUAAAAUAGAUGGCACCAGUGUAACUUGUUAAAAGAAAUGUUUCAUUAAAUAUAAUUUCAGUAUGUAAUUGUUUUCAGACUUCUUAGAGAAAAAUGUUCCCAUUGUACCUAAUUCUCUUUCUUGUUGAAAAUACAUCCAAGAUGAGAAAUUGAGCUUUUUAUAAUGAACUUGCAUGAGACAUUCAUGUAUAUAUGGAAAAGAGAAAAUAAUAAUUUCUAACAUUCAUGAUGUCAUUCCAUUGCGAUGUAGCAUAGAGUUUUUUCUUUGUGUCAAGGAAUUUAUAUGACUGAUACCGUGUUAGUUAGGAUAAAUUACUAUAAAAUGUGUCCACUUUUAACCAAUGGCAUUCUAACAUGGGAUAGGCCACUGCUGGCUGUGACUUUGCUCUAACACUGCAACUUUGUUAUAGAACAGCAAGUAACUGAUUGGCAGCUGGAUCACCAGCUAGCUGGAGACAGCAGCUCCUAGGUCUGUAGUCAUAGUUGGAGUCAUAACCUUAGUAACGAUGAUAGCCACGAUAUAUUGAGCAUCUACUCUUUGACAGACAAUGCUCUAUGUAGUUGAACUCAUUUCAUCUUCAGAUCAACUGUAUGAAUUAACACUGAAGUCACACAGCCUGUAAAAUUAUAGUGCUGCAGAAAAAUCCUGGUCUGUCGAAUCUAUAUCCCAUAUUUGUUGUUGUUGCUGUUGUUGUUGUUGUUGUUGUUGUUCUUAUUGUUUUGUUUGCUUUUCUGUCUAAACUGCUUUGGCCACACCUGGUUGUGCUUCAUGGUAUUAGAAAAGUAGUCAACAGGCUGCUACUUACACCUUUCCUUCCUGUCCUAGAUUGUUGAAAUUUCUUCUUUUCAUUUUACGUAUAUCAAGAACAUGUUUGCCUUUGGUAUUUGUCUGCCUUUUCCCCCAAGAUUUUUAUACAAGCCUCCAACCAUGAGUCCUUAGAGAUAUAUCGAGAAAUGGAACAUGGACUUUGGCACAGCUCCAUCCCUUAGAGAUCUAGCUAGUUCCUGACUUGUUCAGCUUACUGACUCUCUUCCUCUGGUCAGACUAUAAAUUGCACCGUUUUCUUCCUCUCUGGCAUUUGACCAGUUAGUAGCACCAUAAAGUCUUUGAAAUAAAAGAGACCACAGAGAAUAACCUAUAAUCUGAUUUUCCCCACUUCUAACCCCAAUGUGGAGCUGGAAACAUUUUGCUAGUCUUUAACAUUUCCAGUCAAGUAGGGUCAAGAAACACUGUUAAAAACAAUGUCAGUGCUUAAACGGUAAAAAGAUUUGUUGAAGAAUACCUAUAUAUUUUAAGACAGGGUCUCACUGUGUUUCCCAGGCUGAAGUACAGUGGCUAUUCACAAGUGGAAUCAUAUGCACUACAGCCUUGAACUAGCCUCAAGAAAUCCUCCUGCCUUAGCGUUCCCAGUAGCUGGGACUACAGGCAUACAUCACCAUGCCUGGCUGAGAAAUAUAUUUUUUAACUUCAAAAAUGAAGUUUGAACUGAAAGAGAGAGCUAAAAAUUAGUCUAUCGGGCAAAUGUGUGAAAGUAGUUCUGUUAUAAUUUGUAUUGAGCUGUAAUAUAAUUCCUAAACUUAUGUCAAUAUAUAGCUAAGUAAGUAGAUAUAAUUCACAUCUUGAAAUUUUAAAUUCACUUCUUUCCUCCCAACUGAAUUGAAAAUGGUGUAGAUUUGUAUUUAUUUUUUGUUUAAUGGUGUACCAGGCACUGUGCUGUCUGCUGGACCAAAUUAUCUCAUUAGAUCCUCAUGAUGAAUUCUAUACAGUACUCAUUAGUCUUAUUCAUAAUUUUACAAAUGAGGGGACUGAGACCUAAUGAGGUAAAGUGACUUACCUAAAUUUAUGUGGCAAAUAAGAUAACUUCAUGGAUUUGCAUAUUUUCUUAAUUAUAAAAUGUUACCUUUAGCCAUGAUGUGUAUGUUAAUACGUUAAAUGAGUUGAUCUUCCUAAAAUGCUUAGCACUCAAAAGGCUGGCUCCUUGUGAGUGACCAGGAAAUGACAACUUAUAUUAUGCAUUUUCAAGUUUACAUACUGGCAUGACUUUCUAAAUAAUCAAGAACUCUAAAUGGGAAAGCUGAUUCCUUUUGCAAGGGCUUCUUUUCCAUAAGGCAGUCUUUUUUAGCAGUCAGGAUUAAGCAUUUAUAUAGAAUUAGGUAUUCAGAUAAAUCACAUUAGGGAUUCAAAAAAGAUACACCUCUAUCUAGGUGGAUCAAAGAAGUAAACUACUUAUAGGAAGUGGUCAAUUGGGAACUAAACCACCUCGGAUUUAGUUAUGUAAGAAUCAGUGAGAAACCUCUAGGGAAGCAUACCUAGGCAGGGGUUUCAUCUGAAAGGAAAGGACUUUCUCCACAUAUCUUUCCUACUUGGGGCCACCCUGUGGCUCGGUCCUAUGGUAAUCACACUGCCAGGCAUUCUCUACCUCUCCAAAUGCCUUAUUCUUCUUGUGCUAAGAUGCAUUCUUGGUUGUGUAAUUCACAGAUUCUUACCUCCCUGGAGCUGAGCCUGUCCUUUCAGACCAGACUGAGAAGGACUCCUUUUUUCUUUCUCCUGCCAUCCUAGGUUGGCACAAAAGGCUUAAGAUGCUUUCUCCAUCAUUUCUAAAGGACAGCAGGAAAAAACUGAGAUCUGGUUAGGGCUGUUCCUCUGACCUGAAGUGUUAGGAUGAGCCGAACAGCCAUAGGGACUAGAAAUGUCAAGAAUGUAAUACGUUAGAGCAGGCAGUUAGUGGUCCAGUCUCUGAUAUCUACCAUUUUAUUAUGAGUAGUUGCCAAAAAAAAAAAAGAAAAAGAAAAGAUGUAAAACCAUUAUUUUGUUAUAAUUAACAACUGCACAUUGGGUUGUGAUUAAGGGUGGUGGAGUUCACCACUUUGGGAAAAAAAAAUUAACCAUUAAAGAUUCCCUAAGUCUUUUGCUUUGAAAAGAAAUAGCCCCAAUUACUUUUCUGUGUUUUGUUAAAAGUCUACUAGUAUAAGAAUCAAUAAAUUUCUAGGGUAGAAUAAAACACACAUAAAAAAGCAAACCUGAUGUUAGCAGAUAUCUUUAUAAAGGUAUUCUUGUAAUUGAAAAAAUCAUUUUACAUACCUAAGAAUAAAAUUUUACACUUACCUAGAAAUAUAUGUGAAAUUCCUCCAUAAUUGCAAGUUCUUUUUCACGUAAAUAUCAAAAGAAUUAGACAGUCUUCAUUGUUUUAAACCAAGAUACCUAAUCUUUUUAAUCUAUGGGCAACUUGUAGUUAUAAUAGCAGUAGCUGCCUGGAAGAAUGUACUGAGAGCUACACUGAGCUCAGAGAGAAAACGUGCUGUGAUCCAUUGGUGAUCUCCACCAGAGAAAACGGGCAUAAAGUGGCUACUUGCCAUUUAAAUGGCCUUGGUGAUCUUAUCAGAACUCUAUAUAUCUAAUCUAAUCUUGCCAUUAAAUUUGCAUGCAAAUAAAGUUGUCACAGAAACAGGUUUUAUGCAUGCAUACAAAUAUGUGUGUAUAAGUUUUGACAUGUUUUGGCUAUUUGUCACCUAUGAAGAACAUAUAAAUACUGUAGACAGACAAACACUUUCUGGAUGUUGCAGAUGAAAAAAACGAAAAAUAAGUAACUCUAAUUUUCAUUCUGUAAUCACCACCCAGAUUAAAAAUAGUAGUACCAGCAGCCAGAAGUCACCUUUGUGCCCCUUUAAGCCACUGCCCCCACCUACCAAAGGUAGCAGUGAUCCUGAUUUUGAAAAUCACAAUUUUUUUUAUUUUCUGCUGUUGAAUUUUACAUAAAAGGAAUAAUAUAGCAUGUACUAUUUUGUGUUUGACUUUUCCUCACCCCCUCCUACAAAAUUAUGUUUGAAAGAUGAUCCCUUGUUAAUGUGCAUGUGGUUUAUUCAUUCUCACUUAAGUAUAGGUAAUUAACCAAACUUUUGUUUGAGAUGCAAAUUCAGGGUAAAAAUCAGAUUUGCUGUUUAAAUAAUAAUUUUGUAUAUAUGACUAUUUGAGCAUUUUAAGCUGUUGUCAUUUAACAAUUAUUUUAGUAUGAUUUAAUGUCCAAAUGCUGUUGCUUAGAUUCACUCUCAAUGAACAUUUCUUCUGAAGGACCUAGACUUUCCCAAUUAAAAUUAAAACUCUCUUCUCUAUGCUCUCAUGAAACCUUGUACAUUUCUCUAACUCUUGAAACAUUACCAUUAUUGUCUUCUGUCUCACCUGCCUCUCCUCUGAGCAUGUUUUAGGAUAGACUGUGAUUGUUCAUCUAGAGCAAUGAACCCUGUUCCCAGCACCAUGCCUGCUCCAUCAUGGGCAUUCAACAUCUGUCCAUUGCUUGGAGAGUAGAACAGUGAAUUGUUUUGUAUUAUAAAGAAUGUUACAGUUUUUAUUUUUAAUAUUUCUUUAGUAGAUGGCACUUUUCAGGAGAUUGUACUGGGUGAGUUGUAGACACAGUAUAUACUCUUUAUGGCAAAGAGUUGUAUAAUAUCUGGGAAGAUUUUUGCCUGUUGUCUGUGGCUUUCUUUCACCCUUAGUUUACCACCUCCACUGGCAAUUCUGAUCUCAGUACACCCGUGAUCUCAUUUACCACCUACACUGGCAAUUCUGAUCUCAUUGCCUCCCGUGUUUCCCAUUCUAAAAUAUAGACUUCCAAGUUUUCCUCUAUAUGUUCUGAUUGCUCGAGUGACUCUUCUCAGUGUCAUCAACUAGUAAUGAAUACUGCAUACAAAAAUGCUAUGUGUGUUUCACAUGGUAAUCACCCAACUGAUAUGUUGACCUUCUGACUCUCAAUGGGUGAUUUUUAUGUGAAGCCAAGAAAUCUGUUGGUGGUAAGUACUGAGACUACCACUUCAGGCUCACUCUAACCUCAUUGCGUGCAUCUUGAAACACAACACAGUUGUCACACCCAAGCAGAUUCCACAGCAGGGAUGCUGAACCAAAGUGACAAGCUUGUCCUAGAACCCUAACUUGGGGAUUGACCCUCAGCCUUUAAAGUCAGGGAACAACUUAGGGUUGGCUUACCUGCUUGUAUUGUGACCUUUUCCCAUUGUGAAGUCAGCUUUUAGCUUUACCACACUCCCAGACUUAAAUAUUGGGAUGGCAAGAAAUUAAGGUUUAAAAAAAAGAAGAAAUUAAGUCUUAAUCCUUAAUAAUAGAGGAAGUAAUUCGUUUUAGUAUUUUACAGAAAUAUUUUCUAGCCACUCGAUCAUUUAGUAAUUCUAUAGCUUAAAAUAUAUACUCCUUAAAGAAAAGUUUUAUUUCUGUAGGUCUAUUAGUUGUAAAAGUAAAGGUGCAUUACUUCAUUUUAAUAACUUCAGUUUAUUAACCUGGUUCUGCUCCAGGCAUCCUGCUGGCUGUUAGAGAGACAAUGAUGAAAUAUAUAGCCCUCACCUUUAUGAAAUUUAUGGUCUAGUGACUUUGUAAACUAUUCCUAUAGAGCAGGGGACUUCUAGUUUUACCUAAUACUAUAUCAUUGGAAUGAUAUUUUUUACUUUCAUGGUAGGAGUGUACAUUUAUAGGUAAGAAGUGUUUCAGUUGCCUCCAGAAAUCCUGUGGUAAACAACAUAAUUUUAAAACCUCCCUACUUGAAAUUGGGGUGGAGUAAUAUAAAAUAAAUCUGGAAUAUUUGAUUUUUAGACCAAAAUACUUUUCCUGGGUUAGAGAGAUAUUUUCUUUUCUUACUGGCCUGGAAAUCCAUGCCAUUUUAAUAAAAGAUAUUUUUAUUCUAAGUAAAUUGUUUAUUUAAUCACCUCCUAACAAGACUCUGUCAGCCAAGUUAAAUAUUUGAAUUUAUUUUUAUUUAAAUAAAUUUUAAAACCAACAGACUUCUUUCUAAUUUAGAUGAAUUUAGUCUUUGAUUUUUCAAAGAUAAAAUAUAUAGAGUAGGACAUUUUAAUCUUUCUGUAGAAAGGGAGCACAUAAAGGGUACAUCAGGAAAAAAUAAUUGGAAAAAAGAGAAUUUUACACAAAAUUAACUCAUAAAAUGAAUAUAAGGCAUUAGUUUACUUGUUGCCAAAAUCUGUCUUUACAGAUAAUCCUCAGGAGACCUUUAUUUUUAUAGGCCCUAGUUAAAAUAAUUUUUAAAUGCUUGAGGCUCUAGUUCACUAAUAAGAGAAAUAAACUUUUUCUUUCAACAAAUAACAGCUACUAGCUUGUCACCUCUCUAAAUAAACUCAUUUUACUAUUUCCAUAGUUGAAAACGGUUACAUUCCUUUAUUACCAUGCAUAAUCCGUGGCUAUAACUGCAUUAAUCUAAGUAAGGCCAUUCCCUCAAAUAGGGAUCUAACAGAAACUUUUGAAAGGACUGUCAGAAACCAGAUUCAAUGCAGGAAAUCUGAAGGAAAUGAUAUUUAUGUCCUACUGUAGCUUAGUUAAAGGGCUUGCCCUUAAAGAUUACAAGUGUCAUACAAGGGCACCAGGCAACAAUGGAAAACCCUGUUUACAACAAAAUAUCAAAUUAUUAUUGGAUUUUCACAAUGAACCACGUUAUUCUAUGACUGCCAGUCCUACAUCUGGGCAACUAUCGCAUUUGUGUGCAGUUACAACAGCUCCAGUUCUAUAUGGCUAGUUUUGAACUUAGUCUGACUUUAAAACGCAUCCCACUUACUAUCCUCUGCUUUUUUGGUGCAUAUUAUGGGAAAUUCCAUAAAUGAUUUUUAUGCACUUUAGCCAGUAAUCAGGAAAAACUAUAAGAUUUUGUUUAUUAGCUUUAUAAUCCUUGCUUGUAAGAUUUUAAUUGAAUUUUAAAUUAAUUUCUAACUUGAACCUCUCCCUUCUCUGAGCUUUAUAUGCUUGGUCAUCCCUUCUUAAGUAAUAAGCUUUUCAGAAGCUCUGUUCGGUUUUGUUUUUCAGUGUUUCUGCUAUGUUGGCGAUUUGACUUUCCUAUAAAUUAUUAGUAAUUUCCUGAAUAAAGCACAGAAGUUUAUUCUUUCCUAUUUCUCAUGGGUUAUUUCUUAAUAGUCAAAAAAUUGUCUGAAUUUUUAAUACACAAAGAAAAGUUUCAGUGAAUUUAUUUCAAUAAGAUGGAUAAUUUGUUCAAAGUACCAAACACAUUUAUUUGCUUUUAUAAUUCAUGCUAUUUGUGUGCUACAUGUGUACAUGAACUAGAGAAAGAAUAUAGGACACGUAACUACACAUGCAAUCUUGGGCUUUCCAAAAUGUUUAAAGUACCAAAUUCCCUUGGUGCCGAUUGCUUUAGGCAUUUCAUCUUCACUCAGUUGCUUCCUAAAUAUAGCAUAGAUGUGAUGUACCCUGUAAAUUUCAAAUUCACAUAAAGAAGUCCCAGCUUUCAAGGCAAGUCUUAAUUGAAUACCAGAUGAAAACCUUCGUGUCUUCUGAAAUGUUUCUGAAUACAUAGUUGCUUUAAAGUCUUCUUUGAUUUCUAUGUCCAUUAGUGUCCAAAUUCAGAAUGGGAACCAACUUGGGGAGAAAAAGAAACAAAGACUUUCAGGACAGUCUUUGAAAGAGACUUGAUAAAGAGCACCUUGGGACCCAAAGGCAUGGACAAAAUUCUUCUAAGCAGUAGACGAGAUGCCUCUCUUAUGGUAACCAAUAAAGGUGCCACUAUUCUAAAAAACAUUGGUGUCAACAAUCCAGCAGCUAAAGUUUUAGUUGAUAUGUCAAGAGUUCAAGAUGAUGAAGUUAGUGAUGGCACUACUUCUGUUACCGUUGUGGCAGCAGAAUUAUUAAGGGAAGCAGAAUCUUUAAUUACAAAAAAGAUUCAUCCACAGACUAUCAUAGCGGGUUGGAGAGAAGCCACAAAGGCUGCAAGAGAGGCUCUGUUGAGUUCCACAGUCGAUCACAGUUCUGAUGAAGUUAAAUUCUGCCAAGAUUUAACGAAUGUUGCCGGCAUGACAUUAUCCUCAAAACUUCUUACUCAUCACCAAGACCGCUUUACUACGUUAGCUAUAGAAGUGGUUCUCAGACUAAAAGGCUCUGGCAACUUGGAGGCAAUUCAUUAUUAAGAAGCUAGGAGGAAGUUUGGCAGAUUGUUUAGAUGAAGACUUUCUGUUGGAUAAAAAAAUUGGAGUGAAUCAACCAAAAUGAGUUGAAAAAUGCUAAAAUUCUUAUUGCAGACAAUUUUUUCUGUAUGGAUACAGACAAAAUAAAGAUAUUUGGUUCCUAGGAAGAGUUGGUUCUACAGCAAAGAUUACAGAAAUAGAACAUGUGGAAAAGGAAAAAAUGAAGGAGAAAGUUGAAUGUAUUCUUAAGCAUGGAAUAAAUUGCUUUAUUAACAGGCAGUUAAUUUAUAAUUAUCUUGAACAGCUCUUUGGCGCUGCUGGUGUCAUGGCUAUUGAGCAUGCAGAUUUUGCACGUGUGGAACACCUAGUUCUUGUCAUGGGUGGUGAAAUUGCCUCUACCUUUGAUCACCCAGAACUGGUGAAGCUUGGAAGCUGCAAACUUAUCAAGGAAGUCAUGAUUGGAGAAGACAAACUUAUUCACUUUUCUGGGGUUGCCCUUGGUGAGGCUUAUACCAUUGUUUUCAUGGUGCCACUCAACAAAUUUUAGAUGAAGCAGAAAGAUCUUUGCAUGAUGCUGUUUGUGUUCUUGCACAAACUGUAAAGGACUCUAGAACAGUUUAUGGAGUAGGCUUUUCAGAGAUGUUGAUGGCUCAUGCUGUGACACAGCUUGCUAAUAGAACACCAGGCAAAGAAGCUGUUGCAGUGGAGUCUUAUGCUAAAGCACUGAGAAUGUUGCCAAACAUCAUAGCUGACAAUGCAGGCUAUGACAGUGCAGACCUAGUGGCACAGCUCAGAGCUGCUCACCAUGAAGGCAACACCACUGCUGGACUGGAUAGGAGGGAAGGCCCCAUUGGAGAUAUGGCUUUCCUGGGUAUAACAGAAAGUUUUCAAGUAAAGCAACAAGUUCUUCUAAGUGCAGCUGAAGCAGCAGAGGUGAUUCUACAUGUGGACAACAUCAUCAAAGUGGCACCCAGGAAGCUUGUCCCUGAUCACCACCUGUGUUAAGCAUUCCCAUGUGCGGUUGAUCUCUGGACCAGUUUCUAGCAAAGUUGUAUUUGAAAGAUAGCCUCUUAAAGAAGACCAUGGAAUCUGUUUAUCGGUGCCCAUUAUAUCCUUAAGUUUGGAUAUUUAGCUGACCUUCUCUUUUAACAUGGGCCUAAUUUAUUUGCCUUGUAACUUUCCAUACAAAUCAGUUGGUCGAAAAGUUCAUUUCUCAUACCGUGCAUUAAAAUAAACAUUUGAACAAUUAAAAAACAGAUGUGAUAGUUAAUUUUUUGGCUAAGACAGGGUAGAUUCAAGUAGUCAGAAAAUAGAAAAGGGAAUGCUUUGUGUAUCAACUCGUGCUGGAAUUUGUGAAAUUCUAUAAAGUUUGAGAGAAAAAAUGCUAAGUUCAUGAAACCUUGUUUAGUCAUAAUCCUUACAAUUUCUGAUUUAGUAUAAUAACAUCCUGAAUAAAUUUAUUCAGAUUGAUGUAGAGAAGAAAUUAUUCUUUGCAAUAUGUGAAUUCUGACUAACAGGAGUAAUAGAAAAUAAUUGGUUCCUUAGGAUAUUUCUGGUUACUUAUGAGAGGUUUGAGGAGGGACUCUGUCUAACCAUUGUUUUUAAUGCUUGUUGGUGGUGGGUAGACAGAACAUUAAUGCUACAUGAAAAAUAGUUACUCUUGAAUCCUCAAGAGAAAGUAGGUUAUUUUUUUUCUCUGUUAUCCAAGAAACUUUUAACAAUUCUAAAGAAAGAAGUAAAAAGCCCUUAGUUUUUAGAAGCAUGUUUCAGCUUCUUACAUCAGGAGUAGGCCAGAUGGCCAUGUUCUGGAUGGCUUUAUAAAUAUUCCUUUUUGGUCCAUGUAAGUUAAUGGCUAGUUUUAAACCAUGGUAUCAUUUUGAAGUCAGACCUUAUGUGCUUAACUUCAUUCAAAGUAUUUCUAUUUUGUUAGACCUAGGAAAACAUAGAGCUGAGCUAUUAAAAUUCCAGGGCAGUUUGGAAUUGCCAACAAUAUAUACUGGAGAGAUGGGGAUGGAGUCUGAAGUCAAACGAAUUUGAAACUAGUCUCCUUUUACAUGCUGGGUGACUCUGGACAAGGGGAACAGCUACGCAUGGGGUUUCUGUGAAUGUUAAACAGAAUAAAGCGUGCCAAGUGCUUGAAGUGGUGCUAGGGACAUAGCACACCAA